GCAAGUCGAGCGAAUCUGAGGGAGCUUGCUCCCAAAGAUUAGCGGCGGACGGGUGAGUAACACGUGGGCAACCUGCCUGUAAGACUGGGAUAACUUCGGGAAACCGGAGCUAAUACCGGAUAAUCCCUUUCCUCACAUGAGGAAAGGCUGAAAGACGGUUUCGGCUGUCACUUACAGAUGGGCCCGCGGCGCAUUAGCUAGUUGGUGAGGUAACGGCUCACCAAGGCCACGAUGCGUAGCCGACCUGAGAGGGUGAUCGGCCACACUGGGACUGAGACACGGCCCAGACUCCUACGGGAGGCAGCAGUAGGGAAUCUUCCGCAAUGGACGAAAGUCUGACGGAGCAACGCCGCGUGAGUGAUGAAGGUUUUCGGAUCGUAAAACUCUGUUGUUAGGGAAGAACAAGUAUCGGAGUAACUGCCGGUACCUUGACGGUACCUAACCAGAAAGCCACGGCUAACUACGUGCCAGCAGCCGCGGUAAUACGUAGGUGGCAAGCGUUGUCCGGAAUUAUUGGGCGUAAAGCGCGCGCAGGUGGUUCCUUAAGUCUGAUGUGAAAGCCCACGGCUCAACCGUGGAGGGUCAUUGGAAACUGGGGAACUUGAGUGCAGAAGAGGAAAGUGGAAUUCCAAGUGUAGCGGUGAAAUGCGUAGAGAUUUGGAGGAACACCAGUGGCGAAGGCGACUUUCUGGUCUGUAACUGACACUGAGGCGCGAAAGCGUGGGGAGCGAACAGGAUUAGAUACCCUGGUAGUCCACGCCGUAAACGAUGAGUGCUAAGUGUUAGAGGGUUUCCGCCCUUUAGUGCUGCAGCAAACGCAUUAA
rnacentral:rRNA from 1 species